GAUGAACGCUGGCGGCGUGCCUAACACAUGCAAGUCGAACGAAGCACUUUUUUACGAUCCCUUCGGGGUGACGAAUUUGUGACUGAGUGGCGGACGGGUGAGUAACGCGUGGGAAACCUGCCUUGUACCGGGGGAUAGCAGUUGGAAACGACUGAUAAUACCGCAUAAGCGCACAGUAUCACAUGAUACAGUGUGAAAAACUCCGGUGGUACAAGAUGGUCCCGCGUCUGAUUAGCUUGUUGGCGGGGUAAUGGCCCACCAAGGCGACGAUCAGUAGCCGACCUGAGAGGGUGACCGGCCACAUUGGGACUGAGACACGGCCCAAACUCCUACGGGAGGCAGCAGUGGGGAAUAUUGCACAAUGGAGGAAACUCUGAUGCAGCGACGCCGCGUGAGCGAUGAAGUAUUUCGGUAUGUAAAGCUCUAUCAGCAGGGAAGAUAAUGACGGUACCUGACUAAGAAGCUCCGGCUAAAUACGUGCCAGCAGCCG
rnacentral:rRNA from 1 species